UGUCCAACUACCUGACUGUUCACAUGUAUACGUGUGCAUGUAUGUGCUUAUAUAUAAAAAUUCCACUCAGUAUUUCUCAAUUUUGCUCGGUUUCUGAGAGGCAAGGAAGGACAUUUUGGGCAUCUCUCUUUGUUCGGAGGAGGGCGGCCGCAAGAGCCGAUGCCUCUGCGCGAACAACAUCCCUGACUUUGCCAUGCCGCCGUUCCCAACUAGCAAGUGGAGUGGUGCAGAUAAGUCUGCACCACAUCAUGGGGAUCUUUAUGUAAACUGAGCUACCCUUAACAGCCAACAGAAAGAAACACUUGGAUCGUGCUGCAUAUACGUAGCUGAAAAGGAAGAAGAAUCUGAUGCUGUAUACCUCACCUUGAGGGUGACAGACAGGACAUUUUACUAUAAAUGUUUAUGCAUUAAUAUGCAGAAACCUGUCUUGGUAGGGUUUUUCUAGAUAUCUUAAUUCUGCUGAUGCAAAGUGAGAGUGAAAUUACAGGUGCCAGUUUGCAAUGUAGAAUGCUGAUAAACAACUUACCAUUUUGCAGUGGCUGGUCACAUCUGGAGCCUUUUGGGAUGCAAAAGUACUGGAGGAUUAUUGCAAAACUUAAAGACACUUAUGUUGCCAUAACUUUUGUUUUUAACCUAAAUUAGUACAUUUAAUUUUUUUCUGUUGGAGGAUCUUACUGCCUGCAUUACGCUUACUUAGCUAACCAGGUAAUUCAGCAGCAAAGCAAAAAGAGAUUCAG
rnacentral:lncRNA from 1 species